UCAGGGAGCCCUGAUACAUGUUUUGCUUGUGAAGACUUAAGUCAUCUCGAGUUAUGCGACAGUGUGAAAAGAUGUAACCAGGGCGAAGUUUGCUUUGUUUCAAAAUUCGUGAAGUCUGGGCGAAUAACGUUCCGGUCUGGCUGUAUAGCACAUGAUACUUGUGAAAAACAAGAGAGGGACUCUUUGCAAAGUGGCAACCUAUGUACGAGAUGCUGCUACAAAGAUUUCUGCAACAAUCAAG